GGACGAACGCUGGCGGCGUGCUUAACACAUGCAAGUCGAGCGGUAAGGCCCUUUCGGGGGUACACGAGCGGCGAACGGGUGAGUAACACGUGGGUGACCUGCCCUUAGCUCUGGGAUAAGCCUGGGAAACUGGGUCUAAUACCGGAUAUGACUCCAUAACGCAUGUUGUGGGGUGGAAAGCCUUGUGCGGCUAGGGAUGGGCCCGCGGCCUAUCAGCUUGUUGGUGGGGUGAUGGCCUACCAAGGCGACGACGGGUAGCCGGCCUGAGAGGGCGACCGGCCACACUGGGACUGAGACACGGCCCAGACUCCUACGGGAGGCAGCGGUGGGGAAUCUUGCGCAAUGGGCGAAAGCCUGACGCAGCGACGCCGCGUGGGGAUGACGGCCU
rnacentral:rRNA from 1 species